CCCACUGGGAGGGAACUGAUGCUGCUGGAUCAGAUGGGGUUAACAAUCCUUCCCUCAAGCUCUUGUUCUCGGAGCCUCAUAACUUGGCCUGAAUAUAAGCACUUGGCUCUUCAUGCAUUUUUUUUUUUUCCUUUUUCAAACAACUCUAAAAGGUUUUACAAGCAGGAUCCUUUUUUUUUUUUUUUUUUUUUUUUAAUUUUAAGAUGUUGAAAAGAAAUUUCAUGCUGCUGUUUGUUCCUUAAGGAAAUUGCUGGUGGGGGUGCAUGUUAAGGCAAGGGAGAAGAUGCAUUGCCGCAGAUGCACUUUUACAUUGCUUAACUGGGAACUGUUCUCAUGAAUACAGUCUGAAUGUUAAUAAGAGCAGGGUACUUUAGUCGUUCUCUGAAUGACCUUCAAAAAUUUACAGAUAUGGGAAGUAUCAUCCUUUUAUAUCAGAUCAUUUGUACGCAGAUUAAGACAGGUAGUGGUUCAUAGACUGUUGUAGCCCCCACGCAGUUCCCCUCUGGAACCCCCAUACAAUGAUUGGUCUACAACAAGGAUUGUAUUUUCCAGUGAAGUAAACUGGAGAUUACACCAAUCUAGCCCUGGGAAGAUGGAGUACAUGUUCCAAUCCUUCUCUUUCCCAGAGGAGAUGUAGUAGAGUUGAUGGGCCAGACAGACCUGAAUUUAACUGACAGUUCUGAUGCUUCCUGGCUGUGUGAUCUUGGAUCACCCCUCCUCCAGUCUCCAAAAGUUUCAAAUCUACUGGUGUGCUACUUGAAGAGGAUCAAGAGAGGAGGCAAAUAGGAAGAGUGAUAUGCAAGGAAUGACCAGGGCCAAAACCAAGACAACAACUGAAUGCUGUCACUAAAGCACAGCCUAUCAUCUCUUCUACAAAUGGUGCUGGGAAAAUUGGAAGGUCCAAUGUAAAGGAAUGAAUUUGAUCACUCUCCAACUCCAUGAACAAGAAUAAAUUUAAAAUGGAUAAAAGCCAUAGAUGUAAAAUCUGCAACAA